rnacentral:lncRNA from 1 species
AGAGCAAAUCUGACAUGGGAUAGAAUUGUUAAACAGGUGAAGAUCUAUCUGCCCUGAAAUUUUCAGAUGAAUCGGAUAACCCGUUGUUGGGUUGCUGCCCCUGAAUUAGUAAUUUUAAGGAAAUUUUGCUGUUUUUGGUUAUUAUCUUGAAUAUUAUUAUAGAUAGAGAUAAACAGUAAACAGCAAUAAUGUUCAGCAAAGUAAGAUUUACAAAUAAGUCAACAUGACUGAAAUGGUCAGUUGACCUCUUUAGGAGUUAUUGCCCUUUAUAGUCAAUUUUUAACCAUUUUUCGUAAAUCUUAGUAAUAUUUUACAAAAAUCUUCUCCUCUGAAACUACUGGGCCAAAUUAAUCCAAACUUGGCCACAA